AGUUAAAACGCCCGUAGUCUGAAUUGGCCAGCAAUGGUCGUACGUAUUUUUACGUUCACUGUGAACAAAUCAGGACGCUUAGAGUAUGGCCACAUGAAUGACUCAGCGCAGUAUGAAGUCUUUGUUUUCUUCCUGAAAACAAGCUCAAUGAGAGCCAUCGGGGGUAGAUCUAUCUCAUGACGAGUGGUGGAAUACUUUGACUCAUGAGAGAGAAGCUGAGGCGAAGGCGUCUACCUAGAGGGUUUCUGUCGAUCAAGGGCGAGAGUAGGAGUAUCCAACAGGAUUAGAGACCCUGGUAGUUCCUACCUUAAACGAUGCCGACAGGAGUUUGUCAUUUGUUAAUGGCAGAAUCUUUGGAGAAAUCAUAGUUCUUGGGCUCUGGGGGAACUACGACCGCAAGGCUGAAACUUGAAGGAAUUGACGGAAGGGCACACCAGGGGUGGAGCCUGUGGCUUAAUUUGAAUCAACACGGGGAAACUUACCAGGACCAGAUGUUUUUUAUGACUGACAGGCUUCGGGUCUUUCAGGAUAUUGUUUUUGGUGGUGCAUGGCCGUUGGUGGUGCGUGGGUUGACCUGUCUAGCGUUGAUUCAGCUAACGAGCGAGAUUAUCGCCAAUUAUUUACUUUGCCGAAGUCCUUCGGUUAAAGUUCUAAUUGGGACUCCCUGCGAUUUUAGCAGGUGGAAGAGGGUAGCAAUAACAGGUCCGUGAUGCCCUUUAGAUGCUCUGGGCUGCACGCGUGCUACAAUGUUAGGAUCAAUAGGACUGCGAGCCUGAGAGGGUGCGCUACUCUUAUAAUCCCUAACGUAGUUGGGAUUGACGUUUGUAAUCAGCGUCAUGAACCAGGAAUCCCUUGUAAAUGUGUGUCAACAACGCACGUUGAAUACGUCCCUGCCCUUUGUACACACCGCCCGUCGCUCCUACCGAUUGGAUGACUCGGUGAAAUCACCGGAUGCUUACGAGCAGAAAGUGAUUAAAUCACGUUAUCUAGAGGAAGGAGAAGUCGUAACAAGGUAACGGUAGGUGAACCUGCCGUUGGAUCAGUU
rnacentral:ncRNA from 1 species